rnacentral:rRNA from 1 species
UACGUAGGAGGCAAGCGUUGUCCGGAUUUACUGGGCGUAAAGCGCGUGCAGGCGGCAGUGCAAGUAAGGUGUGAAAUCUCCCUGCUCAACGGGGAGGGUGCAUUUUAGACUGCACAGCUAGAGGUCGGUAGAGGGGGGGUGGAAUUGCUGGUGUAGCGGUGAAAUGCGUAGAGAUCAGCAGGAACACCCGUGGCGAAGGCGGCCCCCUGGGCCGUACCUGACGCUGAGGCGCGAAGGCUAGGGGAGCGAACGGG